AUUGGCCUUUUGACCUAGGACGACGCCAAUAGAAAAACAAAGAAACGGAAACCAUGAGUGACGGCAAGGAGAAGAUCGGAUGUUUCAUGGAAGCCCUAGAAUCUUUAUUCAUCAGCGGUAUAAACGGGGAUGAUGUUCCACAUUCUAAUGGGAAUAUCAUCAGUUUAUACCAAACAGAAUAUGAAAGAGCCAAAGUCUAUGAAGAUAAGAUGAAAGCACGUUUGAGAUAUGCCUGUGCCCUCACCUAAAUCCAGUGACGUUCAGCAUGGGAUAAGAUGAGGCUGGUAACAUCAGAACAACAUCUAAAAGUUCAGUUGAAUCACAAUAUUUAGGCACUGCGCUCUAUCUGGCUCCUGAGAUAGUGAACGGGUCAGAGGAUAUUGACCAGAAGGUUGACAUAUAUAGUCUAGGAAUUGUGUUCUUAGAGAUUUGGCAUCCAUUUGAAACCGCAAUGGAGCGGCAUGUUGUUCUAACCAAACUGUGAAAUGAAGGGAUAUUGCCUGCAGCAUCCUAUUUUAGCUGAGCAGUUGAGGCUCAUGGUAUCUGACAAUCCAGAUGAGAGACCGACUGUGGUUUUGGUGUUUUCUGAGGCGUGAAGAACAUAGGAAUAUACCAAAAGAAAAUAGUUGAUCUAGUUGACUUGAACUAGUUCGUAUGUUAAUGCGCUACGAGGAUUUUGUAUGUUAAUGCGCUAUCAGGAUUAUGUAGUAUGUUUAAGUGAUGACAUAUGUUUUAUGAUGGAUUUAUGUAAGGACACAUCUCAUAUGCGAUGGGGACGUGUCUUGUUUCUAACGUGAAUAGGGAAGUUCGCUUUUGAAUA